rnacentral:rRNA from 1 species
UACAGAGGGUGCAAGCGUUGUUCGGAAUUAUUGGGCGUAAAGCGCGUGUAGGCGGCCGUGCAAGUCGGGUGUGAAAGCCCUCGGCUCAACCGAGGAAGUGCGCCCGAAACUGCAUGGCUUGAGUACCGGAGAGGAUGGCGGAAUUCCCCAAGUAGAGGUGAAAAUUCGUAGAUAUGGGGGAGGAACACCGGUGGCGAAGGCGGCCAUCUGGACGGAUACUGACGCUGAGAGCGAAAAGCGUGGGGGAGCAAACAGGG